GACGAACGCUGGCGGCGUGCCUAAUACAUGCAAGUAGGACGCAGUUGCGAACGGGUGAGUAACGCGGAGGUAACUAACGAUUAGAGGGGGAUAACUAUUGGGAACGAUAGCUAAUACCGCAUACUAGUAGAUGGACCUGCGUUGUAUUAGCUAGUAGGUAGGGUAAUGGACUACCUAGGCAACGAUAGAUAGCCGACCUGUGAGAGGUAGUGGACACAGUGUGACUUGGACGCUGCGCGUACUCCUACGUGAGGAAUCAGUAGGGAGUCUGCGGCAAGGGGGGGAACCCUGACCGAGCAACGCCGCGUGAGUGAAGAAGUUUUUCGGAUCGUAAAGCUCUGUUGUUAAGGAAGCGGUACUUAACCAGAAAGGGAAGGCUAACUACGGGCCAGCAGCCGCGGUAAUAC
rnacentral:rRNA from 1 species